rnacentral:rRNA from 1 species
UGAUAUGGAGCAAAACCCUAAAAAGCGGUCUCAGUUCGGAUUGAAGGCUGAAAUUCGCCUUCAUGAAGCUGGAAUUGCUAGUAAUGGCAGGUCAGCAUACUGCCGUGAAUACGUUCCCGGGCCUUGUACACACCGCCCGUCACACCAUGAGAGUUGGAAAUACCCGAAGCCUGUGAGCUAACUGUAAAGAGGCAGCAGUCGAAGGUAGAGCCAAUGAUUGGGGUGAAGUCGUAACAAGGUAUC